rnacentral:tRNA from 1 species
GCAAAAAUGGCAGAGCAGUGCAUUAGAUUUAAGCUCUAAACAGAAAGAUCGUUAGUUCUUUUUUUUGUA